rnacentral:rRNA from 1 species
AUUGAACGCUGGCGGCAGGCCUAACACAUGCAAGUCGAACGAGUGGCGGACGGGUGAGUAAUGUCUGGGAAACUGCCCGAUGGAGGGGGAUAACUACUGGAAACAGUAGCUACUACCGCAUACCAUCGGAUGUGCCCAGAGGGGAUUAGCUAGUGGGUGGGGUAACGGCUCACCUCGGCGACGAUCCAUAGCUGGUCUGAGAGGCUGCCCAGCCAAACUGGAACUGAGACACGGUCCAGACUCCUACGGGAGGCAGCAGUGGGGAAUAUGGCACAAUGGGCGAAAGCCUGAUGCAGCCAUGCCGCGGGUAUGAAGAAGGCCUUCGGGUUGUAAAGUACUGUCAGCGAGGAGGCGUUACUCGCAGAAGAAGCACCGGCUAACUCCGUGCCAGCCGCCGCGGUAAUUC